rnacentral:lncRNA from 1 species
CGGCCGGCCCUGGGGCGGGUCAAAGCGGGCGACCGCCCCAGGCCCCUUUUUUUUUUUCCGUCUGGGUAAACCAACGCCCCUUCCUCUCCCGAGUCCCAGCACCCCAACGGCUUUUUUAGAUAAACCAAACGUCUUCUCCCUCUCACAACCUGUAGCUCCUCUCCCCCGCCUCCUCCUCCAUCUCCGAUCUUUUCAUCCUAUUUUGCUGUCCAUCGGUGAUUCUUCCUUAUUUUGGACGUCAAAAAUCAGAUCAAAAUCCGUCAAAAAGUCAAGUAAAUCUCUUCAAUCCUCCUCUUUCAAUCUGCUAUGAAUUUUAAACUUAAUUUUUUGCUGAUUUAUUGUCAAAAAAUUUUUUGAAAUCCUAGUUCAACAAGUUCCCCCUGUUUUUUCAUUUUUUUCACCGGAGCUUGUAGUUGUCGUCGUUCGGUCGUCGAAGGCUUUAGUUGUGGGCGGUGUUGGCCGGGGAG